GACGAGGGAUCCUAGCGUUGUUCGGAAUCAUUGGGCGUAAAGCGGGUGUAGGUGGCUUUGUAAGUCAGGUGUGAAAGCCCAGGGCUCAACCCUGGAAGUGCAUUUGAUACUGCGAAGCUUGAGUGCUGGAGAGGCUACUAGAAUUCCAGGUGUAGUGGUGAAAUACGUAGAUAUCUGGAGGAAUACCGGAGGCGAAGGCGGGUAGCCAGCCAGACACUGACACUCAGACCCGAAAGUGUGGGGAUCAAACAGG
rnacentral:rRNA from 1 species